rnacentral:rRNA from 1 species
GGUCAGGACGAACGCUGGCGGCGUGCUUAACACAUGCAAGUCGAACGGUCGUAGCGAUACGAUAGUGGCGGACGGGUGAGUAACACGUGAGCAAUCUGCCUUUUACAGGGGGAUAACACUGAGAAAUCAGUGCUAAUACCGCAUAAGACCACAUUUUCGCAUGGGAGAGUGGUAAAAGGGAAUAACCGGUAGAAGAUGAGCUCGCGUCCCAUUAGGUAGUUGGUGACGGUAAUGGCGCACCAAGCCGACGAUGGGUAGCCGACCUGAGAGGGUGAACGGCCACACUGGAACUGAGAGACGGUCCAGACUCCUACGGGAGGCAGCAGUGGGGAAUAUUGGGCAAUGGAGGGAACUCCUGACCCAGCAACGCCGCGUGAAUGAAGAAGGUCUUCGGAUUGUAAAGUUCUGUGGAUAGGGAAGAAAAAAUGACGGUACCUAUACAGCAAGCCACGGCAAACUACGUGCCAGCCGCGGC